rfam:Myotis lucifugus cont2.51818, whole genome shotgun sequence.
GGUGGUUCUCAGGUGAUGCACCCUGGAAUCGGGCUCCCUGCUCUGAUUUCGGGUGCGUCACCCGAGAACCACA